AAAUGCGAUAAGUAAUGUGAAUUGCAGAAUUCAGUGAAUCAUCGAAUCUUUGAACGCACCUUGCGCUCCUUGGUAUUCCUUGGAGCAUGCCUGUUUGAGUAUCAUUAAAUCUUCAAAGUAAAUCUUUUGUUAACUCAAUUGGUUUCUACUUUGGUAUUGGAGGUCUUUGCAGCUUCACACCUGCUCCUCUUUGUUCAUUAGCUGGAUCUCAGUGUUAUGCUUGGUUCCACUCGGCGUGAUAAGUUAUCUAUCGCUGAGGACACUGUAAAAGGUGGCCAAGGUAAAUGCAGAUGAACCGCUUCUAAUAGUCCAUUGACUUGGACAAUACUUUUAUGAUCUGAUCUCAAAUCAGGUAGGACUACCCGCUGAACUUAAGC
rnacentral:misc_RNA from 1 species